AGAUGAUGAUGAGGUUUCUCUGGGGUUAGGGCCUCAGUGCUCUCAGCCUGUGCUACCAUGCUUUGUGACCUUGAUCAGUGGCUGGCCUGCUCUGAGCCAGUCCCCAGGAAGGAGGGGUGAGGUUUGCCAGCCUGGCUGAUGUAAGGACUUCCCUUCCAGUCCUCUGUGAAGUUGCGGCUGCUCUGCAGCCAGGUACUAAAGGAGCUGCUGGGACAGGGGAUUGAUGAUCCAGGCUGUAGGUGAGGGGCUGGUGAGCAGGGGCCUGGCACCGCCUGAAGGUCUCCUUUCCCCAUAGUAUAAGAAGAUCCUGAAACUCACGGCUGAUGCCAAGUUUGGUGAGCACCCCACUGAGUUCACAGGCCCCAGGCAACCCUGGGACCUCGGCCUGGUGCCUGGUACAGAGCCCGCCCCCACCCCCCACCCCCCGCCAACACACACAUCCCAGCAGUAUCCUUAACCUGCCUUCCCUAGUGGAGGAGCAUGAGGGAAAGAAAGACAUUGACAGUCCCACCUUCCUGUCCUCUGCCAGCUCCUGGUGGAGCAGUAGCAGUGCCUGUGGCUCCAGGAGGCCUGGGGGCUUUGAGCUGAAGUUAAUAGGGCAACAGGGGGGUGGCUGGGCCCACAGUGACACCCCCUGUCCCAUGCAUGGGUCCCUGAGAGUCAGGCGAUGUGAAGGCCACAGUGGCAGUGCUGAGUUUCAUGCUCUCCGGAACUGCCAAGCACAGUGUCGAUGGCGAAUCCUUGGCCAGUGAACUGCAGCAGCUGGGGCUGCCCAAAGAGCACGCGGCCAGCCUGUGCCGCUGUUAUGAGGAGAAGCAAAGCCCCUUGCAGAAGCACUUGCGGGUCUGCAGCCUACGCAGUAAGUAUGAGGCCAGCCAGGGUCCAGGCUCAUCCUAGAAGGUGCACGCAGCACACAAAGUGCGUGGAGAGUCCAGGGAGACAAUUUAACCGCAGUCACAUACCGAGCAGCCGCAGAGCCGGGACGUGGCCCUCGGUCUCCUGACCCCGCGCGCUCUGUGAUGUGUACGUACAGGAUCAGACCUUGCCCUUUCCUCCUGGCUGACCCUUCCUUAGUCCCCCGUGCCCCAUGUGUGAGCACCCAGCUCACUCUCAUUCCUCCCUCUCCAAAGCGUGGUCCCUGGCAGCACGAGUGGCAGAAGGGACAGCAGAGACUGUGGACCCCUCAGCUGCACCUAAGACCUCUGUGUGGUCUAGCCGUGUGUGCUGGGGGAGGCUUUUGGCCACCAUUUCCCCGUCUGUAAAUGAGACCGAUACCUGUAGCAUGGAGGGCAGGAGGCUGGUGUGAGUGCCAAGCACUUGGAGCAGGGCCCUGAGUGAGCAUGGACGUGGGAGCAGGGGUGUUUCUCGACUUUGUGCACCUUGGGGAUGGGAGUGGGGCUCCCUGCGUGGGUUGACAAGGCAUUGUUUUCUCCCACCCCACAUUUGUCCCAGCCCUGCAAGUCCAAUCCUUGUGGGUCUAGGAAGGAAGAAGCCCAUGGCUGUGUGACCUCAGGCUGGUGCCUGGCCCUCUCUGGCUGUGAGUUCCUGGGAAAGUCAGCACCCAAGGCAUGCCCUCAAGUUUAGCACUUUGACAAGAAGGGCGGGGACACUGGGAUCAGGCCCAACCCUCUGGCCCCAAAUCCCACGGCCCCAGCUGGAGGAUGAGGAGAUGCUGAGCUUGGAUGGGGGAAUCAAGGGUGUAAAGGGGCCCGCUCACCCCUCAGCUUGGCUCAAAGGUUCAAGGCGUCAAAGGUUCAGCCUGCGACUCAGGAAGGAGACCUGGCCCAGCCAGACACUCACCAGGACAAGGGCAACUGUGACGAGCAGGAGGCCCAGGAUGAGGAGAGCCACAGCAUAGCUGGAGAUAAAGGCAUCCAGCAGGCUGGAGGCUUUGGGGCUGGGAGUGCCUAGAGCAGAGCAAGAAGGCCAUGGCCUGGCGGGGCUUUGCCUCCCAGACUUCUAAGAAGACAGAAUCUGGGCCCAGAAGCUGCUGCGGGACCAGAGAGCUGGGACUAGGAGCACCUUGGAGGGCUCCAUGAGGAGGGGAGGCAGGCUUCAGAUCAGGGCAUGUGGAGGCAGCGAGCCCAAGGGAGGAGGCAGAGGAACAGAGGGAGGCGGGCCUGCAGAGGGAAGGAGGUGAUGACCGUGUCUACCAAGACGCCCUCUGCCUCCCACAGGGUGUGCAGGCCCUGGCGUGCACAGUCCCACACGACGGCCUGGGCUGGCGCCACCCUGAAGAAGGUGGCACCCACUCUGGCGGUCAGUGGGUCCGGCCUGCUGAGAGGAUUAUCACAGAUUUCAGGGGGCUGUGCAGCCUUGCGGGACUAGGGGAGGUCAUCUUUUCCAGCCUCCUGUCCUCAACCCCACAAUGCUGGUCUGAGCCCUGGGUCACCCAGGGCCACCCUGGACCCACCGGAAUUCCUCCACCACCACUUGGUCAAAGUUCUGCAGAGAUCUGAGGACGAGGGUCAGCUGGGGGUCAGGAGAGGAUGAAGAGGGUCACAGCUCUACCAAACGAAGCUUCAUUCCUGGUGGUGCCUGGCCCACCCCUCUGCUGCCAAUCUCAGGCUGGCCCAGCCCUGCAGACCUGGAUACUCGAGCCCUGGGCAGAGGGGUAACGAUCCCAGGACUGUCUUCGCAAGCAGAGAGGCUACUUGGCACCAGGCUCUUACUCCUUGGGCUGAGCUCAGCAGCAGGUGUGUCACCAAGGUCCCCUGGGCAGAAGGGGCUCAGCCCUGAGGGCCCAUCACUUGCCACGCCUGCAUGUUCCUGCUAGGCAUCCACCCUGGGGACCCAGCUUCCCCCUGCCCCCAGCUGCUGGCAGCCC
rnacentral:lncRNA from 1 species